rnacentral:misc_RNA from 1 species
AGUCACCAAUGGCAGACUUCCCUGCAAGAAAAGUCCAAUUUCAAGAUAAAAGUGAUGGAUAUUCCAUUUAAAGGAGAAAAUUAGACAUUAGUAAAUGCGUAAAUAAGAAAUACAAUAAGAAAUUAAUAUUCUUGAUAAGGGUAUUCUCGGGACAUAAUGUUACAUCAAUGUAGAUUAGGACGACAGUUCAUAAAACAGGCAUUUCCCUUUCUGUUUUCUUAUAUGCUCCCUUGUCAUUACUUGGCACAAAUGUAGAAAGGUCCUAGCAUCAAAUGCUACGGCCUUUGAGAAAAAGCAAAGUCAAAUAUCGAUUUAGAGUUUCUAGGCCACAUUCAAGUACUAUGUGUUGGAAUCUCAAUCCCUACAUUAAAA